UGGGGAAUAUUGCACAAUGGGGGAAACCCUGAUGCAGCGACGCCGCGUGAACGAAGAAGGUAUUCGUAUCGUAAAGUUCUGUCCUAUGGGAAGAUAAUGACAGUACCAUAGAAGAAAGCUCCGGCUAAAUACGUGCCAGCAGCCGCGGUAAUACGUAUGGAGCGAGCGUUGUCCGGAAUUAUUGGGCGUAAAGGGUACGCAGGCGGUUUAAUAAGUCGAAUGUUAAAGAUCGAGGCUCAACCCCGCAAAGCAUUGGAAACUGAUAAACUUGAGUAGUGGAGAGGAAAGUGGAAUUCCUAGUGUAGUGGUGAAAUACGUAGAUAUUAGGAGGAAUACCAGUAGCGAAGGCGACUUUCUGGACACAAACUGACGCUGAGGUACGAAAGCGUGGGGAGCAAACAGG
rnacentral:rRNA from 1 species